rnacentral:rRNA from 1 species
GUGGGGAAUAUUGCACAAUGGGCGCAAGCCUGAUGCAGCCAUGCCGCGUGUGUGAAGAAGGCCUUCGGGUUGUAAAGCACUUUCAGCGAGGAGGAAGGCAUAAAGGUUAAUAACCUUUGUGAUUGACGUUACUCGCAGAAGAAGCACCGGCUAACUCCGUGCCAGCAGCCGCGGUAAUACGGAGGGUGCAAGCGUUAAUCGGAAUUACUGGGCGUAAAGCGCACGCAGGCGGUUUGUUAAGUCAGAUGUGAAAUCCCCGCGCUUAACGUGGGAACUGCAUUUGAAACUGGCAAGCUAGAGUCUUGUAGAGGGGGGUAGAAUUCCAGGUGUAGCGGUGAAAUGCGUAGAGAUCUGGAGGAAUACCGGUGGCGAAGGCGGCCCCCUGGACAAAGACUGACGCUCAGGUGCGAAAGCGUGGGGAGCAAACAGGAUUAGAUACCCGGGUAGUCC